GACAGAGGGUGCAAACGUUGUUCGGAAUUACUGGGCGUAAAGCGUGUGUAGGCGGUCCACUAAGUCGGGUGUGAAAGCCCUGGGCUCAACCCAGGAAGUGCACUCGAAACUGGCGGGCUAGAGUAUCGGAGAGGUUGGUGGAAUUCUCGGUGUAGAGGUGAAAUUCGUAGAUAUCUGGAGGAACACCGGUGGCGAAGGCGGCAUCCUGGACCGAUACUGACGCUGAGGAGCGAAAGCCAGGGGAGCAAACGGG
rnacentral:rRNA from 1 species